AUUGAACGCUGGCGGCAUGCUUUACACAUGCAAGUCGAGCGGUAACAGGCCUUCGGGUGCUGACGAGUGGCGAACGGGUGAGUAAUGCAUCGGAACGUACCCAGAGGUGGGGGAUAACGCAGCGAAAGCUGUGCUAAUACCGCAUGUGAUCUGAGGAUGAAAGCGGGGGACCGAGCAGCAAUGUUUGGCCUCGCGCCUUUGGAGCGGCCGAUGUCGGAUUAGCUAGUUGGUGGGGUAAAGGCCUACCAAGGCGACGAUCCGUAGCUGGUCUGAGAGGACGACCAGCCACACUGGGACUGGGACACGGCCCAGACUCCUACGGGAGGCAGCAGUGGGGAAUUUUGGACAAUGGGCGCAAGCCUGAUCCAGCAAUGCCGCGUGCGGGAAGAAGGCCUUCGGGUUGUAAACCGCUUUUGGCAGGAACGAAACGGUGUCCGCUAAUACCGGGCGCUAAUGACGGUACCUGCAGAAUAAGCACCGGCUAACUACGUG
rnacentral:rRNA from 1 species